GUUUUUAACUCAAGUGGCGGACGGGUGAGUAACACGUGAGAAUUUGCCUUUAGGAGGGGGAUAACAAUUGGAAACGAAUGCUAAUACCCCAUAUGCUUUCGAGUGAAAUGGAUUUAUAUUUAUCCGCCUAGAGAGAAGCUCGCGGCUGAUUAGCUUGUUGGUAAGGUAAGAGCUUACCAAGGCGACGAUCAGUAUCUGGUUUGAGAGGACGAUCAGACACACUGGAACUGAGACACGGUCCAGACUCCUACGGGAGGCAGCAGUGGGGAAUUUUCCGCAAUGGGCGAAAGCCUGACGGAGCAAUACCGCGUGAGGGAAGACUGCCUAUGGGUUGUAAACCUCUUUUUUCAGGGAGGAAUAAAAUGACGUGUACCUGAAGAAUAAGCAUCGGCUAACUCCGUGCCAGCAGCCGCGGUAAGACGGAGGAUGCAAGUGUUAUCCGGAAUCACUGGGCGUAAAGCGUCUGUAGGUGGUUUGAUAAGUCAACUGUUAAAUCUUGAGGCUCAACUUCAAAAUCGCAGUCGAAACUAUUAGACUAGAGUAUAGUAGAGGUAAAGGGAAUUUCCAGUGGAGCGGUGAAAUGCGUAGAUAUUGGAAAGAACACCGAUGGCGAAAGCACUUUACUGGGCUAUUACUAACACUCAGAGACGAAAGCUAGGGUAGCAAAUGGGAUUAGAUACCCCAGUAGUCCUAGCUGUAAACUAUGGAUACUAGAUGUUGAACAGAUCGACCUGUGCAGUAUCAAAGCUAACGCGUUAAGUAUCCCGCCUGGGAAGUAUGCACGCAAGUGUGAAACUCAAAGGAAUUGACGGGGGCCCGCACAAGCGGUGGAGCAUGUGGUUUAAUUCGAUGCAACGCGAA
rnacentral:rRNA from 1 species